rnacentral:rRNA from 1 species
UACGUAGGGUGCAAGCGUUGUCCGGAAUUAUUGGGCGUAAAGAGCUCGUAGGCGGUUUGUCGCGUCUGCCGUGAAAACCCGAGGCUCAACCUCGGGCCUGCAGUGGGUACGGGCAGACUAGAGUGCGGUAGGGGAGAUUGGAAUUCCUGGUGUAGCGGUGGAAUGCGCAGAUAUCAGGAGGAACACCAAUGGCGAAGGCAGAUCUCUGGGCCGUAACUGACGCUGAGGAGCGAAAGCAUGGGGAGCGAACAGG